rnacentral:rRNA from 1 species
AAUGAACGUUGGCGGCGUGGAUUAGGCAUGCAAGUCGCGCGAGAACCCGCAAGGGGGACAGCGGCGAAAGGGACAGUAAUGUGUAGAUUAUCUGCCCUCAGGUCCGGGAUAGCUGCGGGAAACUGCAGGCAAUACCGGAUAACAUCUCCGGAUCAAAGGUGUGAUUCCGCCUGAGGAUGAGUCUACAUCCUAUUAGCUAGUUGGUAGGGUAAUGGCCUACCAAGGCUGUGAUGGGUAGCGGGUGUGAGAGCACGACCCGCGUCAUUGGGACUGAGACACUGCCCAGACACCUACGGGUGGCUGCAGUCGAGAAUCUUCGGCAAUGGGCGCAAGCCUGACCGAGCGACGCCGCGUGUGGGAUGAAGGCCUUCGGGUUGUAAACCACUGUCAGAGGGGAUGAAAUGCGGGUGGGUUCUCCCAUUCGUUUGACAUAGCCUCAGAGGAAGGACGGGCUAAGUUCGUGCCAGCCGCCGCAGUAACAC